rnacentral:lncRNA from 1 species
UCCGGUGCGACAACAUGAAACUGCUCACCCACAAUCUCCUCAGCUCGCAUGUGCGGGGCGUGGGCACGCGUGGCUUCCCGCUGCGCCUGCAGGCCACCGAGGUCCGCAUCAACCCUGUGGAGUUCAACCCCGACUUCGUGGCGCGGAUGAUCCCCAAAGUGGAGUGGGCGGCGCUUGUGCAGGCAGCGGACACCUUAAACUUGGCCGAGGUACCCAAAGAGCCGACUGAAGGCUAUGAGCACGAUGAGACGUUUUUGAGGAAGAUGCACCAUGUGUUGCUUGAGGGCUGCUAUGCUCAGCUCAAGAGGCCUCCCCAGGGAAACCCUCCAGCCCGGGACCUGACAAGACCUUAACACACACCCUGCUCUCUGCCCUCCAACACAUGCUACAACUCAAACGGGACAGUUCUGACCAAGUCAAGUUUCACCUCCCCAGCCUCAG